GACCGCGUAGCUCACUUGGCAGAGCAUUGGGCUAGUAUUCCAAAGGUCGUAGGUUCGAUUCCCACCGUGGCCG
rnacentral:tRNA from 1 species